CUACAAAUGAAUUGACGGGGCCCGCACAAGCGGUGGAGCAUGUGGUUUAAUUCGACGCAACGCGAAGAACCUUACCAGGGCUUGACAUCCCCUGACCGCGUAUGAAAGUACGUUUUCACCCUCGGGUGACAGGGAGACAGGUGGUGCAUGGUUGUCGUCAGCUCGUGUCGUGAGAUGUUGGGUUAAGUCCCGCAACGAGCGCAACCCCUACGUUUAGUUGCUAACGCGUGAAGGCGAGCACUCUAGACGAACUGCCGUUGACAAAACGGAGGAAGGUGGGGAUGACGUCAAAUCAUCAUGCCCCUUAUGUUCUGGGCUACACACGUGCUACAAUGGCUGAAACAAAGGGCAGCGAAGCAGUGAUGUGGAGCGAAACCCAAAAAAGCAGUCUCAGUUCGGAUUGAAGUCUGCAACUCGACUUCAUGAAGUCGGAAUCGCUAGUAAUCGCGGAUCAGAACGCCGCGGUGAAUACGUUCUCGGGGUUU
rnacentral:rRNA from 1 species